AUUGAACGCUGGCGGCAUGCCUUACACAUGCAAGUCGAACGGUAACGGGCCUUCGGGUGCCGACGAGUGGCGAACGGGUGAGUAAUGUAUCGGAACGUACCUUUCAGUGGGGGAUAACGUAGCGAAAGUUACGCUAAUACCGCAUAUUCUGUGAGCAGGAAAGCAGGGGAUCGCAAGACCUUCCGCUGAUUGAGCGGCCGAUAUCAGAUUAGCUAGUUGGUGAGGUAAAGGCUCACCAAGGCGACGAUCUGUAGCGGGUCUGAGAGGAUGAUCGGACACACGGGAACUGAGACACGGUCCAGACGCCUACGGGAGGCAGCAGUGGGGAAUUUUGGACGAUGGGGGCAACCCUGAUCCAGCCAUGCCGCGUGAGUGAAGAAGGCCUGCGGGUUGUAAAGCUCUUUCGGCCGGGAAGAAAUCGUAUCAGCUAAUACCUGGUGCGGAUGACGGUACCGGCAUAAGAAGCACCGGCUAACUACGUGCCAGCCGCCGCAGUAAUAC
rnacentral:rRNA from 1 species